UCUGCAAGUCUCUCAAUACCGCAUCAGUCUUUUCCUCGAGAUAUUCUUGUCGGAAGAAAUCCAAAAUUACUUAAAAUGAAUUUCAUAAAGUACGCAUUCCUCCUAGUUGCCAUUUUCUUGAUAUUGGGCUGUGCAUUUGUGAACGCUGACAAUGCCAAGGAAUGUAAGACGCUCAAGAACCGAAUGGGAAAUAGUGUUGAUAACCGUGCUACCGAUCAUUUGGAUGUGAUUUCAACGAAAAAGUCAUCAAAAUCAUCACCACGAAAGAAUAAAGAGAAACAAGAUUGAAAUCAGCUGAAUUUCAUUGCUACAACAAUUGAUGAUGAUUCAUACUUUAAAAAUAAAUCGACACUUGCACAAUAAAAAGUUGCAUGUCUGAAAAUGUA